AUGUUUGAUUAUGUUGUUUCUUGUAUCCUGUGUAUAAAAUAAUAAUCUUCUUAUUCUUUACUUUAUCGUGAGCAAUCCGCCAGUCAACAUGUGCUGUUGGAAAAUUCUGCUGUUAGCUUUGCUUAUAUCUAAUGUCUCCUGUCUAAUGGAUAUAAAGGCCAAAGAUGGUACCAAGGUUAAUGCUUUUAUGGCGGAUGAAAAAAUCUGGAAGGAAGAGUAACCGGUGCAAGUAGGAAGGUCAUGCAUAAGUGUUAAAGAGUGUGAUGGGUUUUCCAAAUCGGACUUAGGACCGGCCUGUAGGAUUCCCUACUGUUCAAGCAGCAACCAAUGCGAAUGUGUUUUUUAAACGAUAGGGAUCUCCAUCUUCAUCUAUGUCGUAGAUUUCUUUAAAUGUCAAAAAGAUAUAGUCUUUCAAACACUUGAUGCAAAAUUUAUACGCAAAAUUUUUUUGUUUUAAUCUGAAUAAAAAAAACCCAAUAAGA